ensembl:processed_transcript
GAAAAGAGAGACAGAAAAAGAAAAUGCCUGAUAAGUGUCAUGUGUGGUUACUGGGGCUGAUAAUUUUCUGUUCACUUCUCACAGGUACCAGUGGAGCAGAAGACACUUGUGUUCUUCAGUUUUGGAGAAAAAUGUCCAUCUGCCCUUAAUAAUACUCUUUCUGACUGCACAUCAACUACAUGGAUCAAUAGUAGAGUUUCAAAGACAAUUGAAUUGAUUGUUGGAGGAAAACUGAACAACAUGAGACAUGAAAGACUGAGUCUGGGCUCUGACUGCUCUCUGAACACCAAGAAAGCCACUAAUGAAGAUUAUGGAUCUUACAUCUGUGGACAAUAUGUGAAUAGAAAACAACACGGAACUGAUGCACAUGUUUAUCUGUCUUUUCAUAUUG